rnacentral:rRNA from 1 species
UCGAUCUCAAAUCAGGUAGGACUACCCGCUGAACUUAAGCAUAUCAAUAAGCGGAGGAAAAGAAACUAACAAGGAUUCCCCUAGUAACUGCGAGUGAAGCGGGAAAAGCUCAAAUUUAAAAUCUGGCGUGCCUCUGGCCGUCCGAGUUGUAGUCUGGAGAAGCGUCUUCCGUGUUGGACCGUGUAUAAGUCUCUUGGAACAGGGCGUCAUAGAGGGUGAGAAUCCCGUCUUUGACACGGACUACCAAUGCUUUGUGAUGCGCUCUCAAAGAGUCGAGUUGUUUGGGAAUGCAGCUCAAAAUGGGUGGUAAAUUCCAUCUAAAGCUAAAUAUNGGCGAGAGACCGAUAGCGAACCAGUACCGUGAGGGAAAGAUGAAAAGCACUU